rnacentral:lncRNA from 1 species
AUUACAGUUGAAUGAUGUAAUUUAAUUCAGAGUAAUUUAAGGAAAUUACUCUGGUUUGCUUGAAUUACUGUGAUAGAUUAUUUUAUUUAUGUAGCCAGGUGCAAGAAUUUCCUUUUGUAUAUCAGUUGCCACUUUUUCCGGAUAAUGUUGUAGCUAAGCUACAAUGUCAAGACAAGGCUAGUUUUGGUUUAGGCUCAAAAAGCAAAGCGCUCUUAAUUGAUGCACUAUUUGAUGACUUAAAAAGGCGUGACAUUUUGUAUCCAACCAGAAGAAUAUAUUCUGCUGUUAGCUCAGCAGUUAUAUUAAAAUAUCCUUUUUUGGCUGAUUAUGAUGGAAGUAGUCGAAAAUUCAAUUGCUGUAACAAGAGAAAAAUUUGGAAGGCCUGGUGUUUCGGGAAGAAAACGAAAAGUAGAUCAAGUUGAAAUUAAUCAU